UACGGGGGGGGCAAGCGUUGUUCGGAAUUACUGGGCGUAAAGGGCUCGUAGGCGGCCAACUAAGUCAGACGUGAAAUCCCCAGGCUCAACCUGGGAACCGCGUCUGAUACUGGAUGGCUUGAAUCCGGGAGAGGGAUGCAGAAUUCCAGGUGUAGCGGUGAAAUGCGUAGAUAUCUGGAGGAAUACCGGUGGCGAAGGCGGCAUCCUGGACCGGCAUUGACGCUGAGGAGCGAAAGCCAGGGGAGCAAACGGG
rnacentral:rRNA from 1 species